GCUCCAUGGCAACCGAGCCCGGAAUCACACCGAGGGCACGGGCUGAAAAUGGCAAAGAUUCCCUUUGGAAGGGAAUCCACAGCCUCGGGAUGCACUCAGCCAGCUGACAAACAGACAAAUGCACGGAAUGCAUGGUGGGAAAGGAACACACGAAGCCAAGGCCACUCCUGGGAAGGUAGACAUCAACUGCUCUGGAGCAAAAGAAAAAAGCUUGGAUGGUUCACACACUCACCCACACAAUCCAAUCCAGCAAACAGCCACAUGGAAUGGGGAUGGAGGAGGCAGCAGAGUCAGCACACAGAUCCCAGCCUGCUGCAGCUCCAGCAGCUCUGGGCACUCACCGUUCUGGGUCAGCUUCAUGGAAAGAGAGCAAACCAUUCCUGAAGAGGUGCUGGAGUUUCCCCACACCAGUCAUCCUGAGCAAUGGCUGAAAUAAAAUUCAAUAUGCAAUAAAAGUCAAAGCCUUUCUUGGCUGAGCUAUUCCUUGCCCUGCUGAACACAGGCACUGAAUUUUCCCACUUUUGUUUCCCACUGGAGGCUGUAUUAAUGGCACAUUAACACCCAGAGAAGUUAUUUUAACAGUUUAAAUACCUUUACAGUCUCAAACCAGCGAGGCUGCUUUACUUGGUAAUAGAUCACUGACUUGUACUCCGAGAUGGCUUCAU